UGCGUGUGUUCUGAGGGCUACCAAGAG
rnacentral:piRNA from 1 species